rnacentral:sRNA from 1 species
CGACCUGCUGCGGCGCGAUGAAAUGGAUAUGGCAGUCGAUGCCGCCGGCAGUGACGAUCUUGCCCUCGCCCGCGAUCGCCUCGGUGCCGGGGCCGAUGACGAUGGUCACGCCCGGCUGCACGUCGGGAUUGCCGGCCUUGCCGAUGCCGACGAUGCGGCCGUCCUUGAGGCCGAUAUCGGCCUUCACGAUGCCCCAGUGGUCGAGGAUCAGGGCGUUGGUGAUGACGGUGUCGACAGCACCCUGGGCGCGCGUGCGCUGGCUCUGGCCCAUGCCGUCGCG